AUGUUAGUAGUACAAAAUAAGAUGACGAAUUCCCAACUGUUAUUCAGGCUUGACUACUCGUAUGAUCCCUCGUUCAAUAACUUAUCGUCAUUAAGUGUUAAAUUUUCAUCGAUCUGUAAGCAUCUGCUACGAAACCAGUAUUUUUUUAGUGAAGUAUAGUUUCGAAUUGUUGUAUUGUGCGGUUUGGGAUACGCUGUUUAUUUCAUUUAUUUAUUUGAACACAUAAAUAUUAGUUUAAAAGGGUACCGAAUACAUAUGCGCCACACAAGUCAAUUGAUUUGUGUGUGAGCUGUGAUACUACCCAGGUGCUCAGACCGAAUGUUUUCAUUGAUCAGGAGCAAAAGUCCGAGUUUCGAAGACGACCAGAUACCGUCGUAGUUGUGACCAUAAACGAUGCAAACUGACGAUCAGCGUUUGUUCUAUGAUUGACAUCGCGGGCAGUCCCCGGGAAACCUUUAAGUCUCUGGGCU
rnacentral:ncRNA from 1 species